rnacentral:tRNA from 1 species
UGGAUAGCUCAGCUGGUUAGAGCAAGGUGCUGAUGAUGCCUAGGUUGCAGGUUCAAUCCCAUAUGGGACAA